GGCGGCGCGCCUAACACAUGCAAGUCGAACGAGAGAUGAAGAGCUUAGCUCUUCAAAUCGAGUGGCGAACGGGUGAGUAACGGCGUGAGGAACCUGCCUCAAAGAGGGGGACAACAGUUGGAAACGACUGCUAAUACCGCAUAAGCCCACGGCUCGGCAUCGAGCAGAGGGAAAAGGAGCAAUCCGGCUUUGAGAUGGCCUCGCGUCCGAUUAGCUAGUUGGUGAGGUAACAGCCCACCAAGGCGACGAUCGGUAGCCGGACUGAGAGGGUUGAACGGCCACAUUGGGACUGAGACACGGCCCAGACUCCUACGGGAGGCAGCAGUGGGGAAUAUUGCACAAUGGGGGAAACCCUGAUGCAGCGACGCCGCGUGGAGGAAGAAGGUCUUCGGAUUGUAAACUCCUGUUGUUGAGGAAGAUAAUGACGGUACUCAACAAGGAAGUGACGGCUAACUACGUG
rnacentral:rRNA from 1 species